rnacentral:rRNA from 1 species
AACGAACGCUGGCGGCAUGCCUAACACAUGCAAGUCGAACGGGAUCCUAGCUUGCUAGGUGAGAGUGGCGGACGGGUGAGUAACACGUGGGAAUCUGCCUUUUGGUUCGGGAUAACCGCGGGAAACUGCGGCUAAUACCGAAUGCCCUCGAGAGAGGAAAGAUUUAUCGCCAGAAGAGGAGCCCGCGUCCGAUUAGGUAGUUGGUGGGGUAAAGGCCUACCAAGCCGACGAUCGGUAGCUGGUCUGAGAGGAUGAUCAGCCACACUGGGACUGAGAUACGGCCCAGACUCCUACGGGAGGCAGCAGUGGGGAAUAUUGGACAAUGGGGGCAACCCUGAUCCAGCAAUGCCGCGUGAGUGAUGAAGGCCUUAGGGUUGUAAAGCUUCUUUUGCCAGGGAAGAUGAUGACUGUACCUGGAGAAUAAGCCCCGGCUAACUUCGUGCCAGCAGCCG